rnacentral:rRNA from 1 species
AUUGAACGCUGGCGGCAUGCCUUACACAUGCAAGUCGAACGGUAACAGGUCUUCGGAUGCUGACGAGUGGCGAACGGGUGAGUAAUACAUCGGAACGUGCCUAGUAGUGGGGGAUAACUACUCGAAAGAGUGGCUAAUACCACAUGAGAUCUACGGAUGAAAGCAGGGGAUCGCAAGACCUUGUGCUACUAGAGCGGCCGAUGGCAGAUUAGGUAGUUGGUGGGAUAAAAGCUUACCAAGCCGACGAUCUGUAGCUGGUCUGAGAGGACGAUCAGCCACACUGGGACUGAGACACGGCCCAGACUCCUACGGGAGGCAGCAGUGGGGAAUUUUGGACAAUGGGCGCAAGCCUGAUCCAGCAAUGCCGCGUGCAGGAUGAAGGCCUUCGGGUUGUAAACUGCUUUUGUACGGAACGAAAAGCCCUGGGUUAAUACCCUAGGGUCAUGACGGUACCGUAAGAAUAAGCACCGGCUAACUACGUGCCAGCCGCCGCAGUAAGAC